rnacentral:rRNA from 1 species
UACGUAGGGGGCAAGCGUUGUCCGGAUUUAUUGGGCGUAAAGAGCGUGUAGGCGGCUUUACAGGUCCGUUGUGAAAACUCGAGGCUCAACCUCGAGACGCCGGUGGAAACCGUAAAGCUAGAGUCCGGAAGAGGAGAGUGGAAUUCCUGGUGUAGCGGUGAAAUGCGUAGAUAUCGUAAGGAAGACCAGUGGCGAAGGCGGGUCUCUGGACAGUUCCUGACGCUGAGGCACGAAGGCCAGGGGAGCAAACGGG